rnacentral:rRNA from 1 species
UUUUAACUUUGUAGGCAUUAAAUAAUUAUUUGAUCCCUUAUCGAAUUCAGAAAAUAAAUUUGUCCUUGCUAAAAAAUACUAUUAAUAUGGGAAUCUUAGUAGGUUAAAAAGUAGAUAAAA